rnacentral:rRNA from 1 species
CCUACGGGUGGCUGCAGUGGGGAAUAUUGGACAAUGGGCGAAAGCCUGAUCCAGCCAUGCCGCGUGUGUGAAGAAGGCCUUCGGGUUGUAAAGCACGUUCAGUGGGGAAGAAAGCCUUGGGGCUAAUACCCUCGAGGAAGGACAUCACCCACAGAAGAAGCACCGGCUAACUCCGUGCCAGCAGCCGCGGUAAUACGGAGGGUGCGAGCGUUAAUCGGAAUUACUGGGCGUAAAGCGCGCGUAGGCGGUCUGAUAAGCCGGUUGUGAAAGCCCCGGGCUCAACCUGGGAACGGCAUCCGGAACUGUCAGGCUAGAGUGCAGGAGAGGAAGGUAGAAUUCCCGGGGUAGCGGUGAAAUGCGUAGAGAUCGGGAGGAAUACCAGUGGCGAAGGCGGCCUUCUGGACUGACACUGACGCUGAGGUGCGAAAGCGUGGGUAGCAAACAGGAUUAGAUACCCUGGUAGUC